AGCCUGCGGCUAAGCCAGCCCUUGAUUGCAAGAUGAGCCCCACAGGAGAGCAACCAGGUGAUUCCAGUAUAAAAGGCAGCAGGCACCUGCAGGCAGGGUGUGUUUGAAAGCGUAGCUGAGACUUCCAGAGGCAGGAGGAAGCCUGGCAGUAACCCAGGGAAGCCCAGAACACAGGAGGUUGUGUGGUGCUGGAGCUGGGGGAAGACAGCACUGCAGAGAGCACGCAUGGUUCUACAGAGCCCGAGCCAGACUCUCCUCGGGUUCCUCGCUGGUAAAACACAAACAUCCCUUCAUUCCAGAGAGCUCCCUUGCCAUCAUGUGUCGAAGACGCAUUUCCUUGAAAGAUGUGAACUUGGAUUCCCCCAACCUUCUAUGCAUCAGUAAUGAAAAUGGAAAGUGAUAGCUUUAAUCUCGUAUCUGUUAGGCCAGGAAACCUCAUAUGACACCUCUUGGAGAGAUCUGCACAAUUUAAUGAACAUCAUCAUACCAGACAGGCAUGUGGCUGGAUUUCCUCGUCUCCUUGCGGAACGAAUUAAUGCCCUACCGGUCUGAAACAAGAUAAAGAAAUAAAUAGAGAAUUCUUAUCCCUAGUUGCAGAUAAACUGCAACAUUCACCACAAAGGAUUCCUGGAAUGAAACAGGCACCUCUCCAUUGAAAGUGCUGAUAAAUCCUAUGCAUCCAAGGCUGGCUUAAUCCAGCUCAAGCUAUCGGAAAAUCUCUAGGGACCCAGCAGCACUGAGAACAGCUAUUUCUUGUCAUGCUACAGUUCUCACAUUGACAGAUAAUCUCCUUGGGCCAGGCUGACAAAAUGCUCAAGAUUGAAUCCCGGGGUUCUUUCCCCUAUGGGUUUAGACAUGUUCCUUCCUCUGGCAAAAAGUCCAUUGGUUUCAGGGAGGGUUGUGCCCAAGGAAGGACCUGGCCUGGAGUUCGGUGAUCAUGUUCUCCUACCGGCUAACCAGGACCUCAUUUUGCAUCCUCGGUGUGAGAGAGACUUCCAUACGUCAUCUUCCGGCUGAUUUGGCUGUGCAAGA